rnacentral:lncRNA from 1 species
GGUAAACAUAAUCAGACAUUAUAUAAUGAGGGGUUUGACAAUCUGCAUAAUAACCCUUUUGUUCCUUGAUUUUUAAGGAACAUUAAUUGGGAAAAGGGCCUCUUUCUCUCUCCUCUCUCACUCUUUAUAUGUCAUAAAGAUGAAAAUAUAAAAGUAUCCCCACAAGUCUAACAUAUUAUCAAGCACUAUCUAAAUUCACCUCCUCUACAUAUCUUACAUUUGAUCUAUUAGAUAUUCAAGCAGUCAACCUUCAAAAAUUUCUCAAUAGACUCAAAGAUUUUCCCUUAUUUCAUUGCUCCAUGCUUCCUCUUCUAAAAACCCUUCCCCCUCACUUCUUCCCACAUGGCCUUGAGAAUUCCUCAUGUAUUAUUUUCCCUUCUUUGCCUCUUUCUCCUCCUUAUAGUAGUCUUUCAUGAAUUCUACGGUCUCAAAUACCUCAAAAACUACGAAACCAAUGGCUUCUCAUCGUCAACCCUAUCUCAUCAUCCUCUAAACCAUAGAAAAGCAAUGGCCACCGCCAAGUUUGACUUUAGUCCUUUUCUCAACCGCCACCACCGGCACCGGAAACACUCAUCGGAAAGAGGGCCGCCAGAGAUUGAUCCACGCUAUGGGGUCGAUAAACGCCUCGUCCCAUCUGGUCCAAACCCUUUGCACCAUUGAAGAAAAUAUAUAAUGAUCAUACAAAGAGAAGUGGUUAGUGAGGGCCUUUAUUCUAUGAUGAGUUUUGUGAUAUCAUUUCGUUUCUUUACUUCAUGAAUAAGAUUGAGCAUGUAAAUUAUAUAUACUAUGAAAAUAGUAGAUUAAUUUUUGUAUUGUGUGUGUGUAUACACACACACAUAUAUAUACACAUAAUCAUGAUUAUGAUUGAUUAUAGCAUAUUAAAUGGCAGAUAUUUGAUUUUAUAUUUGAAGAAACAUGAGUAGCUGUGACGGCACGGCAUGGAAGCAGGGAAAAUUGAUACUUAGCUAACACCACAAUGAUAUUAAUUAAUGUGGUUGGUCAAAUUUUAUAAGCCAAAAUUUCUUUGAAGACAAAUUUUAUAGAGGGAGUGUGCAAUGCACGUGAUGAGCUAUCUGUUCUUUAUGUAUGCGUGUG